rnacentral:lncRNA from 1 species
GUUUCAGCCUCAUUUUACCCAGCUCCUAUUCAAUCAAGACGGAGUUGCUCUGGUUCACAUGCCUCUAAUACUGCUAUUUCAACUGAAAGCCUAACUCCUGAUAAAAGUUGCUGGGUUUGUUUUGCUACUGAUGAAGAUGAUAGAACAGCUGAAUGGGUGAGACCAUGCAGGUGCAGAGGAUCUACAAAAUGGGUUCACCAGGCCUGUCUACAACGCUGGGUGGAUGAAAAGCAAAGAGGAAACAGUACAGCCAGAGUGGCAUGUCCUCAGUGCAAUGCUGAAUACCUAAUAGUUUUUCCAAAAUUGGGUCCAGUGGUUUACGUCUUGGAUCUUGCAGAUAGACUGAUCUCAAAAGCCUGUCCAUUUGCUGCAGCAGGAAUAAUGGUCGGCUCUAUCUAUUGGACAGCUGUGACUUAUGGAGCAGUGACAGUGAUGCAGGUUGUAGGUCAUAAAGAAGGUCUGGAUGUUAUGGAGAGAGCUGAUCCUUUAUUCCUUUUAAUUGGACUUCCUACUAUUCCUGUCAUGCUGAUAUUAGGCAAGAUGAUUCGCUGGGAGGACUAUGUGCUUAGACUGUGGCGCAAAUACUCGAAUAAACUACAAAUUUUAAAUAGUAUAUUUCCAGGGAUAGGUUGUCCUGUUCCUCGAAUUCCAGCUGAGGCCAAUCCUUUAGCAGAUCAUGUCUCUGCUACUCGAAUCUUGUGUGGAGCCCUUGUCUUUCCUACUAUUGCUACAAUAGUUGGUAAAUUGAUGUUCAGUAGUGUUAACUCUAAUUUACAAAGGACAAUCUUGGGUGGAAUUGCGUUUGUUGCCAUAAAAGGAGCAUUUAAAGUUUACUUCAAACAGCAGCAAUAUUUACGACAGGCACACCGCAAAAUUCUGAAUUAUCCAGAACAAGAAGAAGCAUAAAACUGACUUCUGGUUGUUCUGCAGUUCUCUCAUCCUUAUGAAUCUGUUGUGUUGUUUUGAUUCCAUCAUUAAUGCACUUGUGGAGACUUGUGAUAAGCUGCUGCUCCUAUAUUUUUUAAGAAAUAUAAUAAAGCACUUAGGGCAGGGGAAAUCAUCUCGGUAAUCAUGG